rnacentral:misc_RNA from 1 species
CUUUUGAUGCCUCUGUUUCUGGUCUUGCUUUUAGUUUUCAGAGAUGGUUUAUUACUUUAAGAUCAAAGGUUGUUCGAACUGUGGCAGAUGUACUAAAAUUAUUGAGCAUGAAUUUGCUUUCACAAGAUGCCACCAGUACAAAACAAAUAGAGGCGAGGAUUUUGGUUUGGCACUCAAAUUCUUCUAAAGGACUCAGCUCAUUGUUGCAACUGCUUGCCCAUGCUUCUUCCCAGUUCAUGAUGCUAGUAAAGGAAUUUGAUCUCUUAGCAGCGUCAUUCAUUGUCAUGGACAGGAAAAGUAUGAAGAUAGUUUCUGAUCUUGG